AGCUUUGCGCAGUGGCAGUAUCGUAGCCAAUGAGGUUUAUCUGAGGCGCGAUUAUUGCUAAUUGAAAACUUUUCCCAAUACCCUGCUGUGACGACCUGAAAUAUGGUCGGCGUUGGCAAUUUUUGACCGCUCCUCCGGGAG
ensembl:snRNA U4 U4 spliceosomal RNA